UGGGUCUCUGGUGUCCUCAGCAUCCCUGUA
rnacentral:piRNA from 2 species